GUGGGGAAUAUUGCGCAAUGGGGGAAACCCUGACGCAGCGACGCCGUGUGAGGGAAGAAGGCUUUCGGGUCGUAAACCUCUGUCAGAAAGGAAGAACCUCCCAUAUCCGAAUAGGGUGUGGGACUGACGGUACUUUCAAAGGAAGCACCGGCUAACUCCGUGCCAGCAGCCGCGGUAAUACGGAGGGUGCUAGCGUUAAUCGGAAUCACUGGGCGUAAAGCGCGCGUAGGCCGCUUCUUAAGUCGGACGUGAAAGCCCUCGGCUCAACCGGGGAACUGCGUUCGAUACUGGGAGGCUUGAGUCCUGGAGAGGGUGGCGGAAUUCCGGGUGUAGGAGUGAAAUCCGUAGAUAUCCGGAGGAACACCGGUGGCGAAGGCGGCCACCUGGACAGGUACUGACGCUGAGGCGCGAAAGCGUGGGGAGCAAACAGGAUUAGAUACCCGGGUAGUCC
rnacentral:rRNA from 1 species